rnacentral:lncRNA from 1 species
UGCGUCAGGCAAUCAAAACAAAUCACAACUUAUACAUAUAGUUUCAAUCGAAGUUACAUAUAGGCCUCAUUCAAAACCUUGAACUUCACAAAUAUUUUUAGACUAAAAAAAACCAGCUACAGCGGUAAACAAACUUUACAUAAGCCGAUAAGAUUUCGAGUUUUCAAACUAUGGCACACAUGGUUUAAACUCAGCACAUGGUUGCAACAAUCCUGUGAAAUUGUAUUAUUCAAAUAUGGCCACAUGUCUCCAGCAGAAGAGUCAUGAGCUUGCAAUGCUUUGAAGGUAUUACUGUAAAAAGAACCAUUACGUAGACAUCCAAGUUGACUGGUACAACUACUAUCAUGUAGAAACAUCUUCCAGUGACGAUACCAACCUGAAUAGAUAAGAUAGUACAACUGCUAUGAGCUAAUAACUUCGGUUAAUGAGCUAUAUUGUAGCACUUAAAAAAUGGACAUAGGCUUAGAUAGCAAAUAGAUACUUUGAUAAUAAAAAUUUUACAAACAAAAAAGCAAACCAUAGUGACAUUUUCAAAGAAAGUAGCUUACAACUACAUAUGGAAGCUCACAUGUUUUCAAACUUCCCAUGUGUAUCUAUACCAAUCUUAUUGCAGUUGAGUAUGAAUUCACAAGUAUUGAUAAUUUCCAUUACAAUUCAAGCUAUGUUUAAAAAUUACAGGAGAUGCUUCCUUCCGCACAAACAACACAGGUUCAUGCAUAAUGUGUAUAUAAUUAUGAAAGAUAGAUCAUGCAAGACCAUGAUGAAAUAUGGAAGCAUGAUGCUAGUUGAUGGACGAUUCAAAUGAAAAACAAGGAUAUAUGUUUCUUUUAAUGAAAAGUAAAAUAUAAGGAACGACCAUCUCUACGUUCAAGACAACCCUAAAAAGUGAUAGCCUUUUGCCCUGUGAUGCAAAAAGAGCGAAGCCACCACGCAAGAUACAUAUAUCAUUGACAACUUUAGUAUUAAGAGGAAGUUGUAUUGUACGAGAUUCACGGUUGGAUAGCGUGCUAGCCUGUUCACAUUCAAAAUUUACUAUAAGGUGUUGCAAAAGCUUAGCGGUGAUAUCCAUUAAUUUGGCAAUGAACAAGAUUUAAAUGUACCCUUCUAAGAACAUGUUCUCCGCCUACACAAGGCACCUUCCUAGAUUCUUCAUUAAUGUUUCUCCCUUUAUCCAAAUCAAGUUGACCAUGUGACCAUAACCGGGACAUUAUUAACUUAAAAGAAGUAAACACACAAAUAUAUCUAAACUGGAUCUGAUUUGCUGGAUUUCCAAUUAAAUGGUGAACUUUCUAACGAUGCUUCCUAUGAAUCUUGAUAUGUACUUUUUAGAAUCCUAUUAAUAAUUAGAUAUGAGUAGAAAGGAAAAAGCACCUCUCGGUGAUUCAGUCACUGCUUGUAUGCUUUCAUCUGAUGGGUUAUUACAUCACAAUCGAUUAUUCAAAACAAAGUAUGCAACUCCUACAAUUGACUGUAAUGUAACAAUCAGAUGCAACUAAGGAGCAGCUACAAAAGUAAAGUAAUUUUUUAAACACAGUUGGAACUCGAUUUACCUCUGAACAUUACAUAAGCCAUAGUUCUCAUGCAUCUUAUUUCUUAGCUAUUAGAGGAUAAAAUAAAAUUGUGUACGUUCAAGGGAUCAUAAACGACAUACAUCAAAAAACAUCAAAACCUUUCUUCGAGGACAGGCUAAAGGAACGUCAGUAUAGCAUACAAUCUACAAACUACAAUUACCUGUAUAGUGGGAUGUUAAAAAUGAACAGAACUACAUACAUAUAAAGGUGCUUCCUUUUCAUAUGCUGCUUAGCUCACACGAAAAGCUAAACACUUUUUUCUCGACUUGAGAUUCUUGACAAAAGUAAGGUUCAGUCAGUGUAUGUGAGGACAUCUGAUAUGUGCAACAAAGUAUAUACUUUUGCAUGUACCUAAGAUGGUAUUGCUCAAAGCGGAGGAAGACCCUCUGAUCUCCUCUAUAUAUCAUUACUUCGACACCUAAACGUUGCCCUUAUUUUUCUCGAAAGAAUUUUUACAUAUGAAAUCAAUAUAUGUAAAGAAAACUGGAAUAAGAACCAAACAUCCACAUGAAGGAAGCACUUGUUUAUUUCUAGCUAUCUCUGUACCCAAAAUGAUCAAACAUGUAUUUAUUUAUAGCAAAGUUGAAUAAAAAACAACCGUAGGUGCAAGAAAGCACUUACAAAUAUCUUAGCUUACUCCUAGCUAGCUUUCUGCCCAAAAGAAAAAAAUCAUAUCUAUAUGACUAUAUCUGGAGCAUACCUCAAUUAAUUGAAUCCAUCUUAGGCAAAAGCAGCACCAUGGACGCAGCCAACCUACAGUGUCUCCUAUCUCCUUUAGCAAACAAAUCAAGCAUUAAAAGCGAAGCAAAUGCAAAAGGAACCCAAACAUGGCCAAAACAACACAAGAACUAUGUUGUUGGCUAGAACCUAAAAACGAACAGAAGACUUCGCUGCCCUACCUAAUUUCUACUUUGAUGUUGUUAUUACUAAAAUGACCAUAUGUUUCAGGUCAGACAAGAUACCAGGCAGCAACUAUUAGUAGAACAUGUAGUACAUAGUCGUAUAGGCUGAAUGUUUACAGCUGAAAAUAGCACUUUGUAAUAGAUAUUUACAAGUAAAACAAAGUGGCAACUGUUGCUAGAGCGGUCUGCACUGGCUAAGGUUGACGUUCCAGAUACAUUCUUCCAUCCGAGUGCUCUGCUAUUUUCUUCAAAGCAGAGGAAGAAGAUUUGGCAUAUGUGCUCGACCAUGUGGUGUCAUUAAUCAUUGAAAUUUUUAAAUGGUAUUACCUGUCAUUCUGAGACACCAACAUCUAUUAACUUAUGAUUCUGCAAGGCACACACAUAAGUAAAUGUAAGCACAAGUUUCUCACAAGUAUGUCAAGGGCCAUUGCUACGUUAACAGAAAAGAACAGAAAGAAAUACAAUGGAAGAGGAAGCACCAGGGACCAUACCUCAGGCUCGAAGUACAAGAAGGGGAGGCCGGAGCAGCAUGAACUGGGGUAGUACGGAUGAAGGACGACGGGCUGGAGAGCAUGACGUGACCAGGGGCGGAGGAGCACGCACAGGAGGAGGACGACCAGGAGGGGCCGGCGGCGCCAAACCUAUCUCGCUGCACGCCCAUCUCGGCAGUUCAAGAGAGGUGCAAGGAGAUGUUGCAGCCCAGGGAGAAAGCAUGGAGGGAGCGGCGACAUUUGGGCGGCGCUAGGGAUGCGGCGGAGGGCGGAUCAGAUCUACGGACCAUGGUACUUGACGACGGCGGAGGAGGUAGCUCGGCGACAGCGGUGGUCCAGGAGGAAGGUUGGUGCGAUGGGUGGUCGAGGGAUGCUGGCGUCGGGCGGCGGAGGGCGGUCGGUGGCGGCUAGGGUCAAAGUAGAAGGGAUUUGGGCUAGAUCUGGUCGGGACAACGGUAGUAGGGUCGUAACAGAAGGCAUUUUGGGCUUUCUAGCGCGCGCUUUCGUGGUAGCGCGCUGUUGGGCCCAAUUAUUUCGUUUUCACACCAUGAACAGUUCCUGGCAGAUAAUGGGCCCAGAUUUAGUUCUCCCGGUAGAUAAAAUGACAUAAAUGAUGGAUAUGAACGCCGACAGUAAAUAUGUCCUUGUUGCUCAAUUUCUACCGGCAGUUUUUCUACCUGGAAGGACUUGUGCCGGUGGUUAAAUGAUCCCUGGCAGUUUGUUUGCCUUUAUAUUUGUAUUUCUCCCGGCAGUUAACUACCCCUAAUCAAGUGUUGUGGUGUAGUGGCGGCCUGGGUAUGGAUAUCGGUGGUUCUCACUUGUCACAGAUGGGCUCGUUCCCGUGGGAAGAGCAUGGACCCUGGAUGCGCUCCAUGUUGUCACAGAUGGGCUCCUUCCCCUUGGAAGAGCACGGCCGUAGGGUGCCCUCCCUAAUGUCGCAGACGGGCCCUUUCCCCUUGGAAGAGCAGAUGGGCUCUUUCCCCUUGGAAGAGCCGGAGAGGGUGCCCUCCUCGUGGUAGCCGUCGAUGAGGUCUGAAUUGGAAGCUGUGGAUCCCAAGCCAGCGUCACAUAACGUGUCCUUCCGAAAUGACAAAAGGGGCUCGAUGGCGAUGUAGAAUGGCAAAUUGUUGAGAGCGAGCCAGAGGAGAUCAGCGGCGGGGCCAUGGAUGAGAUUGGCGGCGGUUGAACACGAGGGGUUGGGGGAGGGCCACUUAACCUAUGACACAACUCGCCUCAGGGCGUCGCUGUCAAUGACCUCAAUGUCGUAGAUGGUCGACGAGACAUGCCCGCAUACUCUAGCCCUCUGCUUGAGUGCCUGCCGCCAGUAAGGGUCGUCAGCUCCCUCAGUGAUGUCAGGCGAAGAGACCGCUAUACACCUCUUUUGGGCUAGUCGCUCCUCGAGCUCCACGGGAAGCGUAGCCGGGCUUAGGCUGCGAUGCUCUAGAGUGGGGGAUGGGGAUGGGAUGUGGAUCUGUGGGAAAGGGGGUGUUUGGCAUGCAUCAUCUAAGAAACUCAAGAUGCACUACACCACACCACUAUUGCAAAGACAGGUAAUCUGCCGGGAGAAAGCCAUUAAGAGGGCAGACAAACUGCCGGGAGAGUGUUUUUACCGGCAGAUAGAACCGCCACUAGAACGGCUGCCGGGGAUUACUUGUCCUGGCAGAUAAACUAUUCCCGGAAGUUUCUUUGCCCCGACCUAUAUAUCUGCCGGCAGAUCAUUUUGUCCUGGCAGACUUGUCAUAGCACGGGAUCUAUAAUUGUGGGCAGUGAAACUGCCGGCACAAACUAGUCUUCCCGGUAGUUAGUAUGCCAUCAUGUUGUUUUCACUAGAAAACUAGUAUACAUAUCUCUAAUUUAAUAUCCACACUGCGUUAGGCAAUCAAAACAGAUCACAACUUAUACAUAUAGCUUCAAUCGAAGUUACAUAUAGGCCUCAUUCAAAACCUUGAACUUCACAAAUAUUUUUAGACUGAAAAAACCAAUACUUCAACAUCCAUACAUGCGUUCGGUAGCAACCAGCUACAGCGGUAAACAAACUUUACAUAAGCUGAUAAGAUUUCGAGUCUUCAAACUAUGGUACACACAUGGUUUAAGCUCAGCACGUGGUUGCAACCAUCCUGUGAAAUUGUAUUAUUCGAAGAUGGCCACAUGUCUCCAGCAGAAGAGUCAUGAGCUUGCAAUGCUUUGAAGGUAUUACUGUAAAAAGAACCAUUACGUAGACAUCCAAGUUGACUGGUACAACUACUAUCAUGUAGAAACAUCUUCGAGUGACGAUACCAACCUGAAUAGAUAAGAUAGUACAACUGCUAUG